UCCGCCCUCUCCCGCGCGCUCGCGCGCUCCUCGCGGUCGCGUCAGGUAAGUCCAGCCUCUCUCCCUCCGGCCCCGCCGCCUGCUCUCAUCCCCGCCCAUUCCGUCCAGCGUCUCCGGGUGCAUCGGCUCAUGGUGUGCGAUGUUCGCCCCCCCUAGGGUUAUCUGCUCGGGGGCCAUGGCGUGUUCCGUGCGCCGCUACCUUCGCCUUCGCAGCUUCCGGGGGGUGACAGCGCCGGGCUGUGGCUCGUGCGUCGCUACCUGACGCCCGCUCUAGGGAGCCGGGCUGCGGCGGCCAAUGGGGCCGGGAAGGUUCGAGGCUGGAGGUCCCUGCUCGCCAACUCGCAGUCCCGGCGGAUGUUCUCGGACCAGUCGAAAAAGAAUUUCCCCAAGGAGAAGGAGGUGCCAAAAGGGGAUGUGGGCAACAAGUCUGAAUCCAAGAGAAUAUUCCCAGUCGGGCGGAUUUGGAAUGGUAAGACGCCAGUGCAGUGGUGCCGGGAUGAAGGUGCGGUCGUUGCAGUCCUGGGCAGCGCUGGUUCAUGCACAUGUCCUAUCCGCGGCAAUGUUAUGAUCUCUCAGCUGUUAUGGAGAAGAGAAUAUUGAGACUUGGGAAAGCAGUAUAUCAGGAUCUGAAUGGAGAAGCCGAGUUGGAUGACCAAGGUGUACUCUGCUGGUCAAUCCUUCGUCUCUAUCGGAGUUCACGUGAGUGCCCUAUGGAAGAUUUUCCAGAGACCAAUAAGCAUCUAAAUGUCAUAUCCUUGAAAAUUCAAACGAUGACUUUUCAUAGUAUGUAAAGGAGUGCAUAGAUACUUUCCAUCGCAAGAAAAAGGAACUCAUAGAUAUUUUACUUGAUUUUUUGAGUUCAUGUUGGCCUUAACUAUCAAACAUUUUCUCCACCUUUGCCAUGGGAUCACAUUGUUGGCACACACUUCUUCGCGUAAGGAAAUGCUAAUCAAAUUCAGAAUAAAUUCCUUAGUUGUGAUUCCUGAACUAUUUCCUAAUACACUCCCUUUUUUUGACAGUCCAGCUCACAUCAUGCCUCUUCUUGAGAUAGUCCGCACCCCUCAUGCCUCUCUACAAGCAGUUGUCACCUUGCUGGAUGUAGGGAAACUGUACUGGCUUUGCGGUCAACCGGAUGUUUUUUUCAUACACUCAGGCAGCACUCUUGCUUGUUGAUCAUGGAAUGGAUGUUUACAAGAUCAACCAGGCUUGUACUGAAUUCAGGAUGCCAAUUGGUUCAUUCAGGUAUUUAGACAACACAAAAUAUCUUUGGCAGUAUCUAAUCUCUCUCAUUUGCGAUGAUUCAAACGGGAAUGCUCAUAAGUGAGACUCAGCAUCAUUUCGCUUGCCUCAUGCACUUAUGCUGAUCAAAUCAUGUUGAAUCACGCACCAUUUUCACUUAAAGAGCUUCUUUGUAGAAUAACAGAUUUGGUUGGUUUUGGAGUUGCUCUAGCCACAGGCAUGCAGUACCUUGAAAACUUCCGUGAGCGGGUGUACAAGUUAAUGAUGAUUCCUCUCAUGAUUGAAGACAAAAGAACAGGUGAAGCCUCCCAAAAGGGGUUUUACAGGUAUUAGGGUAAGAGGAAGGCGAGCCCUAAUCUUGAAAUCAUGAACUAUGUCGAGGAGUCGAGGAGAAUUGCCGGAGCCACACCGGAUCCCCAGGUUUGGUUUCACUUUCCAGUGUUUUUACCUACGUUCCUUUUUUCUUCACUUUAGCAACAUCAUCUUUUCUUGAGGGUUUGUGAAAUAAAAAAAUAAAAUGUCAACAUAUGCUUCCUAAUGCACAUUUUAAAAAGGUUCUUAUGAGGUUAGUGUUGACUUGUAGAUAAUGCAUGUUGAUGGUCAAAUAAGGAAGGCAACUUUCUAAUUAACCUGUUGUGUUUGAUGAAAUCUCAUUAUUUCGUGGACUAGAUAUAACCUAAACAAGUUUCUGAACACGAUAGUUCACUACAGUAACUGCAAUCCAGACGCUGCUCGCGUCGACCUUUGUCGCUGACAUACGCCUACGACUCCCCGUGCUAGCCUUUCCUGAGAUUCAUGCAUAGCCACCGCCUGUGCUCUGCAAAGCGCCGGACGCAUAGGGACGGCUCACUGAGAUUGAGGCAGGGUACGUGUGUCUUGCGUACGACUUGGUCUGGACAGUCACCUGUGUCCUUGACGUCGACAGUGACCCUUAUUUGAUUUAACCGCUGUCCUCCAAUUGCACGG